rnacentral:rRNA from 1 species
UACAUGGGGUGCAAACGUUGCUCGGAAUUAUUGGGCGUAAAGCGCGCGUAGGCGGUUAUCUAAGUCGGAUGUGAAAGCCCUCGGCUUAACUGAGGAAGUGCACCCGAAACUGGGUAGCUAGAGUACUAAAGAGGGUCGCGGAAUUCCCGGUGUAGAGGUGAAAUUCGUAGAUAUCGGGAGGAACACCGGUGGCGAAGGCGGCGACCUGGGUAGAUACUGACGCUGAGGCGCGAAAGCGUGGGGAGCGAUCCGG